UGCCCAGAAACUCCUAUCCCUACUUCCUCGUGGUACUGGCCGGGGUACGAUCAGGUAACUAACCCCGUUGGGUCGUAUGCUGACAGGGAAGG
rnacentral:ribozyme from 1 species